CACGUAGGGUGCGAGCGUUGUCCGGAAUUAUUGGGCGUAAAGAGCUCGUAGGCGGUGUGUCGCGUCGGCCGUGAAAACCUGCAGCUUAACUGUGGGCUUGCGGUCGAUACGGGCAUCACUGGAGUUCGGCAGGGGAGACUGGAAUUCCUGGUGUAGCGGUGAAAUGCGCAGAUAUCAGGAGGAACACCGGUGGCGAAGGCGGGUCUCUGGGCCGAUACUGACGCUGAGGUGCGAAAGCUAGGGGAGCAAACGGG
rnacentral:rRNA from 1 species